CUCUCACAUCUCUCUCUCCUCGGACAACGCCGACAACCUUGACCUCUUCCUCUGAUCUCCAACCCGCAUUCAACAUCCGCCACGCCGACCUCCUUCCGUUUCGUCUUCGGAUUCUCCAAGCCCUCCACCACCUCAACCGGGUUUGAAGUCGGAUCCUCGCCUUUGGGGUUACCCUGCGCCUUCAAGUCCCCCGGUUUGCUUCGUUUACCGGUGGUCGGAAAACUGGUGCAUGCCCUUGCCGUCAAGGCCGAGCAGAUAUGUGACGUCUUUGCUGUUGGGUGCAGUGGCUUCGAUAUGUACUGAAAAACUGGUCUCCGAGAUUAUGCCCGGAAACUGUUUGAUAAAAUGCCUGAGAGAAACCUUGCCACUUGGAAUGCCUACAUGUUGGGAAGCCGAAUUCUGUGCAUUUCUCAAUGCCUGCUGUUCGGAUACGUUGGCUUUGGAACUUGUGGCGCGAUGUGGGUUUGGGAAAGAUGUGGUGAUGUGUCAGUGCUCAACCGGGUUUGAAGUCGGAUGGUUUGGCAUUAUAAGAGAACUUGCCAGUCUGAGAUAAAUUGAAUUCUUCCCAUUCGGGGAUCAGGUAGAUGUUAUGAAGUGAUUCUUAAUCUGAGAUCUGCUAUGCUCAACAGAAGGGCCUCCUGUUGAUUUUAAAAAUCCAGUCAACUCCAUUGAGAAGUUGGAGGGAGCUGUCAAACACAGAAGAGAACUUCGGUUCUAUAACUCUGAGAUGCACUCAGCUGCCUUUGCCUUGCCUGCUUUUUUGAGGAAGGAGGUGAGUGCACUCCGUGAUUCUUCAACUCCAGCAAGACAAAGUGGCUUGUCCUAGUAAAUAACUAGCGACAACUCUAUCUUCCUGAUUAUUGAAAUGAGUACUGCAUGGAAGAAUAGAGACCAGGUAAUUAUCAAGUGUAGAUGGAGCUCCUUCUGAAGCAUCGGUGGGAUUUAAGUUUUACUGUGAUGUUAUGUCUUGAAUGACCUAUUACUAUAUGUUUAGCCCUGUUACAUUAUUGGAUCUUAUGAGUAAUUUGCUCAGUAAUCAAAUAAUUAUGAAUAUUUUCAUUCGAUU